rnacentral:tRNA from 1 species
CGUGAGCUCCUGUAGCGCAAUGGUUAGCGCGUUCGGCUGUUACCGAAAGGCUGGUGGUUCGAGUCCACCCAGGAGCGU